rnacentral:tRNA from 1 species
UGUAGCUUAGUGGCAGAGUGACUGGACUAGUAACCAGAUGGUCAUUGGUUCGA